rnacentral:rRNA from 1 species
AUUGAACGCUGGCGGCAGGCCUAACACAUGCAAGUCGAACGAGUGGCGGACGGGUGAGUAAUGUCUGGGAAACUGCCCGAUGUAGGGGGAUAACUACUGGAAACGGUAGCUACUACCGCAUACCAUCGGAUGUGCCCAGAUGGGUUUAGAUAGUAGGUGGGGUAACUGCUCACCAAGGCGACGAUCCCUAGCUGGUCUAAGAGGAUGACCGGCCACACGGGCACUGAGACACGGUCCAGACUCCUACGUGAGGCAGCAGUGGGGAAUAUUGCACAAUGGGCGAAAGCCUGAUGCAGCCAUGCCGCGUGUGUGAAGAAGGCCUUCGGGUUGUAAAGUACUUUCAGCGAGGAGGCGUUACUCGCAGAAGAAGCAACGGCUAACUCCGUGCCAGCAGCCGCGGUAAUAC